rnacentral:lncRNA from 1 species
UUGCCUUGGGAAGAAUGUCAAAAAUGACUCCACCAAUUUAUUUACUUGCCUCUCCAGAGGGGACUCUCUGAACUAUGUUUCUAUUUUGAUGCAAUUUCCUUUUAUCUCUCUGAUUUCUAGUCUCAUUUCUAGUGAAAAUGUCAAUACUGGCAUGGCUUAGCUCCUUUAGUAACAUUUCUCUUCAUUGGUCAUUAGACAGGGGAGUCACUGUGUUUGGCAUAUAGAGUUGGCACUGAGCAAAUGUUGAUUAAAUACUAGUGUGACAAACCCAAUCCUAAUUAAGGUAACAGGUGUAUGGGUGUCAAAUGAGGACUAGUGCCUCUGGGGUGAGGGCUUGCAAAGCCCUUUUGGGGGCUGCUGGUACACUUUUGGUGUUCAUCUGGCACUCAACUCUCAGUUGUGACUCCAAAGGGUUGUAGCAUUUACUGUGGCAACACCCCAGUAAACCAUCCCCGCAGAUGGGCUAAACCAGGGUGAGAGUAACCUAUGUGCCACAAACCCAUAAGGGAGUUAUGGGCUAUGCAUCCCAAGCAUAUGACAAUUUCCCUUGGCAGACUGGGAAGAUGAGAACAAUUUGUUCCAAUGGCCAUGAAGGCAGUGGAAGCAGACCCUGUGGAAGACAUAGAGCUUGGCCAGACACUGAAGAUGCCAAGGUCCACUCACUGCAUUCCAGAACCUGGUUAGCCUUUCCCCAUCAACCAAACGAGAGGGAUGGAAAGAGAAAGGCUGAACUCAAUCAAAGGCUUUCCCACCACUGGAUUGUUCUUGGUCUUGAGUGGUAAUUGACUUGGCUGACCAGAUGUAGCCUGAAGAGGAAAACAAUUCCCAGAAGUUUGCUGGAGCAUUGUGUUCUGCUGGGAUCUAGAAACUUGAGAGCCAACAAGACGAUGACUCUAGCCACCCACAUAAACAAACAGGAACAGAAGAAUAAGGGGGAGCCAGUCUCAAGACAGUGAACCUCACUAAGAAUAAGAGGUAGUGAAAAACCUUCCUGCCUCACACUAUGAGCACCAACGUGAGAGCUCAUGACUUGGUGCCACUAGAGGAUUGUUGAGUGCCCCAGCUGUGUUCUUGGACAGUUUCUAUAGUAUUCAAUUUCUUAGAUUUGAUUAAAAUAUCCUAAAGCCAAUGAGAUCUAAAACAGAGAAUCAAACCCUUCUGGAAGAGUAAGCAUUUCUUCAAGAAGCCUUAGCCAAAUUUCUGGGAAUAGCUGGAAAGCCUAGAUGUUCCAUGAAUAUUUCUGUUUGCAGCACCAUAUAAAAAAUAAGCUUAACGUUUAUUUUUUAAAAAAGGAUGUCUUAUAUUUCACUGGUCCUGCCAAAGUUUUGUUUUUCUUUUUUCCCAGUGAGUAGAGAGGGAGGAUGGGAGGAAGAAAGGACAGGUUUUGAGGAAGAAGAAAAAAUACUUAAUUGAAGAAAAUGAAAUAUUAUUUUAAAAAUAUUUUACUGCUUCUAUCAUCACAACAGUAGCAAUGUUAAAAAUAACUGGAAGAGGUAGGUCUUGAUAAGUGAAAGACAAUGGAAUCCUAUUUCUCUCUCCCUAGCUUGAGCGUAGUCAUUUAGUGCCUAGUGUCCUCAAGGCUCCUGAAAGUCAAGCAAGUCAUUAGUAGCAUUGGGAAUGCAGUCUGGAUUUAAGGCAAAAGCAACUUUGCACACUUUUUUUUUUUCAAAAUCUUACUUUCUCUCUUAGUAACAAUUUUAGGAGAGAAGGGCAAAGCCUAGGAAAAUAGAGUUAAUUGACUUACCCAAGGUAAUACAGCCAGGAUGUAUCUGAGGUCAGCUU